CGUCAUUAGACGGAAAAGGAAGAACGUCAUUAUACGGAAGAGGAAGGAAAAGUGUGUUUGAAACUAAAAUCGCUAGUAACAACCAGCAUCAAACGUAACAUUGCUUGUCAAAUGGAUAUCAUUUCUCGUUAUGGUUUGUAGUUAUGCUGGCUGUGCUUCUGCUGUCUUUCUACAACAUCCGAAGUUUCCCUGGCACACAAACGUACUUGUUUCAUUUCGAAUGCUAAGCUGGACAGGAAAAUGGUCCAAUUCACACACUGAUCAAGACAACAUCCCUGGUCGUCCCUACUGCCUCUGAUCUGGAGGACUCACUAAACAGAGAACAUCCCUGGUCAUCCCUACUGCCUCUGAUCUGGAGGACUCACUAAACAGAGAACAUCCCUGGUCAUCCCUACUGCCUCUGAUCUGGAGGACUCACUAAACAGAGAACAUCCCUGGUCAUCCCUACUGCCUCUGAUCUGGAGGACUCACUAAACAGAGAACAUCCCUGGUCAUCCCUACUGCCUCUGAUCUGGAGGACUCACUAAACAGAGAACAUCCCUGGUCAUCCCUACUGCCUCUGAUCUGGAGGACUCACUAAACAGAGAACAUCCCUGGUCAUCCCUACUGCCUCUGAUCUGGAGGACUCACUAAACAGAGAACAUCCCUGGUCAUCCCUACUGCCUCUGAUCUGGAGGACUCACUAAACAGAGAACAUCCCUGGUCAUCCCUACUGCCUCUGAUCUGGAGGACUCACUAAACAGAGAACAUCCCUGGUCCUCCCUACUGCCUCUGAUCUGGAGGACUCACUAAACAGAGAACAUCCCUGGUCAUCCCUACUGCCUCUGAUCUGGAGGACUCACUAAACACAUGCUUCAUUUGUAAAUGAUGUCUGAUUGUUGGAGUGUUCCCCUGGUUAUUUCUUAAAUAAAAUAACAAGAGAAUCGUGCUGUCUGGUUUGCUUAAUAUAUGGAAGGUCAAAUCAUUUAUACUUUUACCACUGAUACUUAAGUAUAUUUUAGCAAUGACGUUUACUUAGUAUUUUACUGGGUGACUUUCACUUUUACUUGAGUCAUUUUCUAUUAACAUCGUCUUAUUAUUGUACCUUUUUCCCUUCAUUUGCCUACUACUGUCUAUAAGCUGUCAUAACAUGUGGGUUUUUUCAUGGGUACCAGGUAUCGGAACGCCUUUGAAGGGUCUACAAAGCCCCCAGGUAAAAGUUGGCUUUUGCAGACAAGGAUUGUAUUGUUACUCCACGACAUAAUAUGUUAUCACAACUCUAUUAAAAGGACAUUCUACA